GUAAGUAUAUAAAACGUAUUAAUUUUAAUUCUAUAAAUAAAUUGUAAGAAUAUCUUCGCGAUAUUGGACAUAGCAGUCUUCGAAUAUUCAAUAGACAACUCAGUUCUACGCUUUUACUUACUCGCACAAAUAUGAUCCACAAUUUGUUAUUCACAAGAAUAUUUAAAAUUAUCCGAAGUUAUAAAGUAAUAUCCUGUGUAAGAAGUAUUCAUAAUAUUUUGUACGUACGGAGAUCGAGAUGAUGCGGGGAAUAGGAAACUGCAUUCAGUCUGGAAAUAAACCAGUUUAUGGCAAUCCAGUUAACAUUAACAAGGCUCGACUGAACAGGAAUCUGUUUCAAAAACCGUCCCCUUUACGAGUUGCCCGUUUACUAUCUGAGCAACUUCACAAAGGGUUCUUCUUAUCCGAAGUUGGCAAAGGCAAAGUGAAAGAACGCCGGGCAAAGUGUAAAGGCCACGAUCACCGCUGUAAACCGCAGCCACACACCCGCUCGCCGCACAUUGCCAACCCGGAGCGAUGUGGAAUCUAUUACGUCGACGUUCAUGGAACUAGGUCGAUGUAAACCCGCAACAAAGCAAGUGUGAUACGUAAACGAAACUGUAGCGUAAUAUGGCUCGCACGUACAGGACCAGGUAACAGGUUUACAGAUAGAAAUGAGGAAGAUAUGAAACCACAAACAAAAUUUCACGCCCGGCCUGAGUUUCUGCUUUGAAGUCUAAUGGCGUAGACAAAAUCACAAAACAAUUUAUAACUUACCUCAAUAAAUUGUUAAUUGUAAACAA